AAACCUUUUCAAAAGGAAAAAAACCUGUUCUUAUCAGUUUAAUAUCUGAUAUGUCCUUUAUACGAGGACAAACAUAUUAAAGUGAUUUUUAGAGCUGGGAUCUGAAAAAGGGUCUUGCUCCGUUCCAUUGCAGUGCCGCCGGGUACAGUGCAACCUUC
rnacentral:snRNA from 1 species